UUGACAGCCUGGAGGACCACAGUCCUCUAUUUAUCCACACCAUAUGGAUAACAGUAGUAACAGUAACAGUGCAGGCUUCCCCAGCACUGUCCAGCAAUGUGCCUCAAUCUUGACCCAGAGGGCCCAGUUAAGAGGGUGAGAGGAGAGUUCAUGACCUGCUCCUUCGUUGCUCUGUCUGCU
rnacentral:sRNA from 1 species